rnacentral:lncRNA from 1 species
CGGCCGGCGCUCGGGUUACAGCGCGCUCCCGCCCGCCCGCGCGCUGACGGACCUGGUAACGGGACCGGCCGCGGCGAUGGCUUGUGGGGGCCGGCAGUCGGAGGGGGGCGCGGGGCGUCUCGGCCCGGGAACAGCCGGGUUCGCGAAGCGGGGCGAGGACGGGGUCUUCGGAGGCUGGAGGCCAGCGAAAUCUGUCACAGCCCGGGCCGAGACUGUAAAACUGCCCGCCCUCAGCGGUCACCACCGAGUGGCAGGUUUUUUCCUCAGACAGAAAAGGGGGUGAAAAAAGAAAAAAAAAAAGCCUUUCUGUCCCCGAGGACUGGUUUGAAUUGCUUUUCAUCUGGAGUAGCUGUGAUUCAGCGUCCCCCUUAGCAGCAAGUAUGACCGAGGCAGAAGACGAGGGGGAAAAAACGCUAAUGAAUCAGAUUUUCUUAAGUUACAAAUACAUUUAAACAAUGAUCAAGUCAUGCUGCAACAAGCAUGAGGAACAAGUGAACAACUAUGGCAAGAAAUUGGUAUUCUUGGGUCUGAGAUCCAGCACUGGAGAAAAAGAAAAUGAAGGAGAGAAUUACAUGGAUGAUCUGCAACCUAUCUUCCAGCUACAUGGGCCAUAUCAGCCAGACAAGGGGUGUGCACUGAUCUUGCUUCAGAAUUGUUUCUUUGUCUAAGCACACUAGAAUUUGGUUGUGGUCCAACUAGUUUUUAUCUGGGAACAAUGCUCUGAAAGUUCUGGAAAUAAAGUACCUGCUCACUCUCAAAUUUAUGCUGAUUCUUAAUAUGCUUGUAAUGGAGAGGAAGUAGAAGGAAAUGGGACACCAAGAAGAAAGAAGAUCCUUUGUGCAACAAGUACUUAUCAAACAUUUUAUACUCAUCUCCCUUCUAGACAGGGAAGAAGUAAAUUACAUGAAUAAUGUUCUUUUUAUACUGAAAGAAGAGGGUAUGCAAAGUACAGCUGGUUCUUGAUUUCUAAGGGGAUUGCAUCCUGACAAACCCAUUGUAAAUGGAAACUGUCAUAAGUCAGAAAUGAAUUUAAUACAUCUGAGCCAUCAAAUAUCACACAGAGUAUGUGUUUUUCCCACUCCUGACCAUGUGGCUGGCAGAGCUGGGACUCACUGCCACUGCCCAGCAUUGUGGGUGAGUAUUGUGCUGCACAUUGCUAGAUGUAGAAAAAACUCAACCAAAUUCAAAAUUUGAAGUAUGCUUUUUACU